rfam:Sinorhizobium fredii NGR234, complete genome.
CUACCGGCGUCGAAAGGCGUCGGGAUGGGGCGGCAGGAGUCAGCAGAGGCCGUAGUAGCCGGACCAAGCGGUGAAGGGC